UUUGACCGAAUAUGCGUUCAACUUGUUAGAAUUGGUUUCAGGCCCAAAAGUGGGCCCAUGAGUGAGGAAAUGUCCAAUGAGCCGAGAGUGAGAAGAGAAAUUGAAUGAUGGGUGGUUUGGAUUGAAUGAAGAAUUGAGCCGAUUUGAGAUGUUGGGCUGAUUGAAAAAUGUUCCUCCACACGACCCGUUUCCUCAUCAGAAUCCACGAUAAUUUGUGUGAUUUUAAGAAUUAAAAUAAGGGUUACCAUGUCGUCUUCCUUGUUUGCAGCUACCACUAGAUGAAGGGUGUAAAUUUUGCACGUCUACCAUGGCGGUAAGAAUGGCUUCAAUGGCGGACGAUUUUGCUAUGGUUGAUUCCUCAAAGAUGAGAAGGGUGUGAAGUUCUUCAAGGGAGAUGGUACCACUUCGAGUUCGGAUUGUCGUGUGAAAGACAUUGAAGGUUGCGGGAAGUCCAUUUAAGAUGGAGUUUACUUUAUGGAGUAAAGGGCAGAUCAGAGAUCAAGAAUAUUGGAUAUGGUAUUGGAGGAGUGUCUCUUUUCUGGAGAGAACCACAAAGCUUUGGAUGAGGUUGUGCCGACUACAUGAGCAAGAGUUGAAGGGAAUGGGGUUGUGUUGAUGAGGCUGAUAUGAGCUUGGUCACGGGAGAGCCACUGAAGAUGCUCAAGGUUUAUUUCAGGGGUGGUUCCAGCAGGUGUUGAAGGAAAAAAGUUGAAAGGGCAUGGAAGAGAAUCGUCAAUGUGACCAAAUAGAGAAUGUUCUUUGAGGAUUGAGGAUACUUGAUAUUUCCAGAUAAGGUAGUUUGUGGAGUCUAAUCGAAGGAGUACAAGAUUGCAAAUAUUUGAUAGUAAGAAGAGAGUUGAGAUAGGAACAUGUUGAUUUUGUGGGAAUGAGAUUAGUAGGAGUUUCAGUAGAGAUGGAAUCAGAUUGGGAGCUGGAGGUAGGCAUUGAAAAAGAAGAAGAAGGGACGAAAGGAAACAAUCUGGAAGAAGAUAAAAAUGUGACGACGAGAGACAACAAAAGAAGAAGAAUACGAAGAAGAAGAAGGAAUUAUUUAUGUAAAUUAUCGAUGAAUUUAUAUUGAAUUUGGUUACUGUUUUCAUUGAUGAGAAUGAAUAUUUAUAGGAGUAGUAGAUUUUGUAAUAUGAUAUUAUUUUCUAAUAACAAUCAUAUCAUAGUAAUAAUAGAUUCCAAUUUGGAGAGAUGGAAAAGUGAAGA